UGCGGCUCUACGCAGAUCUGACAGAGUUUUCUUCCUCUGCUGCACUUUGAAUUGAACUACACCAAGUCCUUCUCAGCUCCAAUCAUCACCAGGAAGAUCAUAACCCUAGAUCUAAACGGUCAAUCUCUCACCGGUCCCGGAAAAUGGUGCUGGUAUCGGCAGUACGGGAUUACAUAAACCGGAUGCUGCAGGACAUUUCCGGCAUGAAGGUUCUCAUCCUCGAUUCCCAAACGGUUAGUAUCGUAAGUGUUGUCUAUUCACAAUCAGAGCUUCUUCAGAAGGAAGUAUUUUUGGUAGAACUGGUAGAUUCCAUUUCCAAGUCAAAAGAAUCUAUGUCGCAUUUGAAAGCAGUUUACUUCCUUCGCCCUACACCAGAGAAUAUUCAGCAUUUGCGCCGGCAAUUAGCUAAUACUAGAUUUGGGGAGUAUCACCUAUUUUUCUCCAACAUGUUGAAGGAUACCCAGAUUCAUAUUUUGGCCGAUUCAGAUGAGAAUGAAGUUGUACAGCAAGUUCAGGAAUUUUAUGCAGACUUUGUCGCUGUUGAUCCUUAUCAUUUCACACUGAAUAUUCCUUCAAAUCACAU
rnacentral:misc_RNA from 1 species